rnacentral:rRNA from 1 species
GUUUGAUCCUGGCUCAGAGCGAACGCUGGCGGCAGGCCUAACACAUGCAAGUCGAGCGGCCGUAGCAAUACGGCAGCGGCAGACGGGUGAGUAACGCGUGGGAACGUACCUUUUGGUUCGGAACAACACAGGGAAACUUGUGCUAAUACCGGAUAAGCCCUUACGGGGAAAGAUUUAUCGCCGAAAGAUCGGCCCGCGUCUGAUUAGCUAGUUGGUGAGGUAAUGGCUCACCAAGGCGACGAUCGGUAGCUGGUCUGAGAGGAUGAUCAGCCUCAUUGGGACUGAGACACGGCCCAAACUCCUACGGGAGGCAGCAGUGGGGAAUAUUGGACAAUGGGCGCAAGCCUGAUCCAGCCAUGCCGCGUGGGUGAUGAAGGCCCUAGGGUUGUAAAGCCCUUUCGGCGGGGAAGAUAAUGACGGUACCCGCAGAAGAAGCCCCGGCUAACUUCGUGCCAGCAGCCGCGGUAA